CAUAUUCACUAGUGGGGAUGAGAGCAAGGACUGGGAGGGGGAAGGGGAGAAAAAGAGAGAGACCUUGGAAGUGUCAUGAUUAUAAAUUAUCCUUUCUCUAAGAGACAACUGUGCCUGAGAACCACCUCGCUUGUGAGGUUCACGAUGCAAAAUGAUUAUCACAUCAUCAACAGACCUGGCUGAAUCCUGUCCUUUGUGGUCCAGAGGACUUUACUCAAGAAAACACUGAUGGGCUGGGGAAGGAAGGAUGCAUGGAGAGGUGGCCAGCAUGGGGAUUACCACCAGAAGCGCACUUCAGGGGCUCUGCUCACAAAGAUGGAAAUGAAUCCAUUUUAAGGUCAGCUGAGGAUGAACUGGUAGGAGCUCCCACUUCCAGGGAAGGCAAGGUGUGCCUCUAGUUCAAGCUGAGAGGAAAAACAGGGCAUGCUCAUGCACCCAUGUCCAUCCCUGCAGUAAUGCUGCACGUGGCACAAAGUUAGAGCCCAGCAAUUCACAGUAUGGAUGGAGUUUUCCUCUGAUGGUGUUCUCCAGAAAACUGGGCUGGGUCUAGUACCCCUGUGAGUACAAGGGCAUUUUUGAACUCCUCUUUAGCAGGAACAAAGACAACUCAAGGUAGCUUCAAAAUCCCCCAUGCCUAGAAAUGCCUCUGUAGCUCUGGAAGCAGGCAGCUGGAUCCAGAUUGAGAUCCCCAUCUGUGUCACACUGAGCGACUGCUUCCUGCUUUGCCUUUGGGCUUUUAUUUAAAAAUACAGGACAAAAAAUGACUGUUUCUUUAGCCCUUGCUGAGAAAUCCCUUGAACUUCAGCUGAUACACAGGGGAAAACUAAGGACAGACUCUGAAGUGGGUUAUUGUUCCUUUAGCUUGUGCACAGCCACAUGCUGCCUUUUCUGUCCCAUCAAAGACCCCCUUGGUGUCCCUUUAUGGCUGUUGUACAUCCAAUUGUGGAUGAAAUGUGAAACAUCCUCUUUUUUCCCCACGGAGUACCCAAACCAGGCAUGCAACUUAAGAAAAAUAGGUGAAAACACCUAUUUUAACUUUGCUUCUAAUCAGAAAACAUAUAUUCUUAAAUAUGCAUACAUCAGCAGAAACAGCAGCCAGACGAGGCACAAGACAAAUAAGUCAUCAAGGACAAAUAAAAGGAGGUUCAUUCAUCGCAUUCAGGACUGGAAUCUUUAAUGGUCACCAAAUGAACUAAGAUAACUAAGUAACCAUUGUAAAUAUUAAUCUUUAAAGGAAAACAAUACUCCCAACAACAGGAAGUCUGAUAAGACAUUGGAUGUGGCCAUCAGUGUUAUGGAGUCUCUCUAAUUUCCUUAGUUUUUUCUUAUGCCUCUAGAGGGAUCAGGAAGGGGACCAUAUGGUAUCUCUCAAAGGAAGUAAAUUAACAUUAUUAAUAGCUAAUGUGGGAGAGGUGAAACAGUGAUUGUUCGUUCUGGUUGUUAUUGUGCUUUUGUUGGGGGGAAGCCUGCCUGCUAGUAAGCUUAAGCACUCAAGCCAAAUUCAAAAUCUUGUAUUUAUAAACAGAGAUCUGAUAACAGUUGCCUAAGCAUCCAUGAUGCUUUGCCAGCGCACGCACAUGGAGCUGAUCCGAAGGGCCUGUCCUGGGGUUAGCCCACACAGAGGACAGCUCAGGCUGCAGUCCUUGUUCCCAAGUAAUACCUCACAAGGACCCUCACAAUCUCCUUUGUGUUGGUUUUGUUUGAAGCAGAAGAGCAAGGAUGGGUAGGUCUGCACUUUGAGGGAUGCAGCCUGUCCUCUGUCACCCACUGAGGCAGGGGAUCAAGGGGCCACAGAGGAGGUAGGUUCUCACAGGCAGUGGUCACCCUGUGGGACAUCUCCUUUUGAGCCCACAGUGCUGGCACAGCUGCUUUCCAAGCAUUGCUCAGCAGGAUGAUACGGAAGUCGAAGAAGAAUUAUUUUGUGGGAAGCAGUGAUAACAAAGUGCUGCAUUAGGAUUGAUUGAAUUGGUGACUUGGAUGAAUAUGUCAGCAGCCUGGGAUCCCUUGCACUUUCUCUGCACUACGAGAAGAAUUCACCUUUCUUAAGCCUCUGCUUUUAUCCCCCAAAUACUUAGAGGAUGUUAUUUAUUCACUGUAAAUAAUAUUGCCACUUAGGUUAUACUUUGUGGCUACUUAAAGAGUGAGACCCUGAUGUCAAACUUGUCUGUUUGUCCCAGAGCAGCUGAAAGCAUAAAAUGCAUUUCUCAUUUUUUUCAAGGGUUUCUAUACUUUCUAUUUUCUUCCCAUUAAUGAAAACCUGAGGCAGUUUCUAGCUGGCCUUGCAGAAGUGGACUUUAUGACACCUUGCAUGUUGAGACAAUCUGCAAAAUAAAUUUGAUAGGUAAAACUGA